UACGUAGGGUGCAAGCGUUGUCCGGAAUUAUUGGGCGUAAAGAGCUCGUAGGUGGCCUGUCGCGUCGGCUGUGAAAACUCGGGGCUCAACUCCGAGCUUGCAGUCGAUACGGGCAGGCUAGAGUUCGGCAGGGGAGACUGGAAUUCCUGGUGUAGCGGUGAAAUGCGUAGAUAUCUGGAGGAAUACCGGUGGCGAAGGCGGCAUCCUGGACCGACAUUGACGCUGAGGAGCGAAAGCUAGGGGAGCAA
rnacentral:rRNA from 1 species